ACAUUGUCUGUUAUAAUACCAGGUGAUACAGCAUUGAUCACCUGGCUUCGCUUUCAGACUAUAUCAAUUCUUUGAAUUUAUCCUAGUGUGAUUGUUUAUAAUCUGACAUUUGCACUGGCAUUUCAAAGAGACAAUU